rnacentral:tRNA from 1 species
UCCUGGUGGCUUAGACGGUAAAGCAUCUGCCUACAAUGCUGGAGACCUGGGUUUAAUCCCUGGGUCAGGAA